UAAAAGGUAAGCUAAUUAAGCUAAUGGGUUCAUACCCCAUUUAUAGAGAUUUAUCCUCUCCUUUUAA
rnacentral:tRNA from 1 species